rnacentral:rRNA from 1 species
AAUCAACGCUGGCGGCGCGCCUAACACAUGCAAGUCGAACGAGAAAGUGGAGCAAUCCAUGAGUACAGUGGCGUACGGGUGAGUAACACGUGGGUGAUCUACCUCUUAGUGGGGAAUAACUUUGGGAAACCGAAGCUAAUACCGCAUAAGCUCGAGAGAGGAAAGUCGAAAGACGCUGAGAGAGGAGCCCGCGGCCGAUUAGCUAGUUGGCAGGGUAAGAGCCUACCAAGGCAUAGAUCGGUAGCCGGCCUGAGAGGGCACACGGCCACACUGGCACUGAAACACGGGCCAGACUCCUACGGGAGGCAGCAGUGGGGAAUCUUGCACAAUGGGGGAAACCCUGAUGCAGCGACGCCGCGUGAGCGAUGAAGCCCUUCGGGGUGUAAAGCUCUUUCGGCAGGGAAGAUAGUGACGGUACCUGCAGAAGCAGCUGCGGCUAACUACGUGCCAGCAGCCGCGGUAAUACGUAGGCAGCGAGCGUUGUUCGGAGUUACUGGGCGUAAAGGGUGUGUAGGCGGUUGUUUAAGUUUGGUGUGAAAUCUCCCGGCUCAACUGGGAGGGUGCGCCGAAUACUGAGC